UACAGAGGGGGCAAGCGUUGUUCGGAAUUACUGGGCGUAAAGGGCGCGUAGGCGGCCUGCUAAGUCGAACGUGAAAUCCCUGGGCUCAACCCAGGAACUGCGUCCGAUACUGGUUGGCUUGAAUCCGGGAGAGGGAUGCGGAAUUCCAGGUGUAGCGGUGAAAUGCGUAGAUAUCUGGAGGAACACCGGUGGCGAAGGCAGCUGGCUAGACCUGUAUUGACGCUGAGGCACGAAAGCGUGGGGAGCGAACAGG
rnacentral:rRNA from 1 species